UAAGGCACACGGUGAAUGCUAA
rnacentral:miRNA from 1 species